rnacentral:misc_RNA from 1 species
GAUGAAGAACGCAGCGAAAUGCGAUACGUAAUGUGAAUUGCAAAUUCAGUGAAUCAUCGAGUCUUUGAACGCACAUUGCGCCCCCUGGUAUUCCGGGGGGCAUGCCUGUCCGAGCGUCAUUGCUGCCCUCAAGCACGGCUUGUGUGUUGGGCCCCGUCCUCCGAUCCCGGGGGACGGGCCCGAAAGGCAGCGGCGGCACCGCGUCCGGUCCUCGAGCGUAUGGGGCUUUGUCACCCGCUCUGUAGGCCCGGCCGGCGCUUGCCGAUCAACCCAAAUUUUUAUCCAGGUUGACCUCGCAUCAGGUAGGGAUACCCGCUGAACUUAAGCAUAUCAAUAAGCGGAGGA